rnacentral:rRNA from 1 species
AAGGGGGGGCAACUCCCCGAGUAGAGCGGCGAACGGGUGAGUAACGCGUGGGUAAUCUACCUCCGAGUGGGGAAUAACAGCGGGAAACUGCUGCUAAUACCGCAUGACAUCGUCGAGCCUUCGGGCCUGACGAUCAAAGCCGGGGACCGCAAGGCCUGGCGCUUGGAGAGGAGCCCGCGUCCGAUUAGCUAGUUGGCGGGGUAAUGGCCCACCAAGGCUCCGAUCGGUAGCCGGCCUGAGAGGGCGGACGGCCACACUGGGACUGAGACACGGCCCAGACUCCUACGGGAGGCAGCAGUGGGGAAUUUUUCGCAAUGGGGGAAACCCUGACGAAGCAACGCCGCGUGGAGGAUGAAGGCCUUCGGG